rnacentral:miRNA from 1 species
AGAGCUUGCUAAAAUGCAGAUUCCCAUCCAGUGGGCCUGAGAUUCUGCAUUUCUAACAAGGGCCCAGGCGAUG